rnacentral:rRNA from 1 species
UACAGAGGGUGCAAGCGUUGUUCGGAAUUACUGGGCGUAAAGCGUGCGUAGUCGGUAUUGAGAGUCACGGGUGAAAUCCCAGGGCUUAACCCUGGAACUGCCUGUGAGACCUCAGUACUAGAGUGUGAGAGGGGAUAGUGGAAUACCCAGUGUAGCGGUGAAAUGCGUAGAGAUCGGGAGGAACACCUGUGGCGAAGGCGGCCCCCUGGGCCGGCCCUGACACUGAGACGCGAAGGCGUGGGGAGCGAACGGG